UACGUAGGGUGCGAGCGUUAAUCGGAAUUACUGGGCGUAAAGCGUGCGCAGGCGGUUCGCCAAGUCAGGUGUGAAAUCCCCGGGCUUAACCUGGGAAUUGCGCUUGAAACUAGCGGGCUUGAGUGUGGCAGAGGGGGGUGGAAUUCCACGUGUAGCGGUGAAAUGCGUAGAUAUCGAGAGGAACACCUGCGGCGAAGGCGGGUUGCUGGGCUGACACUGACGCUGAUGUGCGAAAGCUAGGGGAGCGAACGGG
rnacentral:rRNA from 1 species